rnacentral:rRNA from 1 species
UACAGAGGUCUCAAGCGUUGUUCGGAUUCAUUGGGCGUAAAGGGCGCGUAGGCUGCGGGGCAAGUCGGGUGUGAAAUCUCAGAGCUCAACUCUGAAACUGCACUCGAUACUGCUUUGCUCGAGGACUGGAGAGGAGAUUGGAAUUUACGGUGUAGCGGUGAAAUGCGUAGAUAUCGUAAGGAAGACCAGUGGCGAAGGCGGGUCUCUGGACAGUUCCUGACGCUGAGGCACGAAGGCCAGGGGAGCAAACGGG